AUACUUACCUGGCAGGGGUGAUGCAAUGAUUAAAAAGGUUUUUGCCCAGGGCAAGGCUCGGCCAUUGCACUCUGGUCAUGCUGACUUCAAAUUCCUCUAAUGUUGGAAUCUCAACUGCAUAAUUUCUGGUAGUGGACGCUGCAGUUCCCAGUCUUCAG